rnacentral:rRNA from 1 species
GACAGAGGGUGCAAACGUUGUUCGGAAUUACUGGGCGUAAAGCGCGUGUAGGCGGCCUUGCAAGUCGGAUGUGAAAGCCCUGGGCUCAACCCAGGAAGUGCACUCGAAACUGCAAGGCUUGAGUUCCGGAGAGGAAAGCGGAAUUCUCGGUGUAGAGGUGAAAUUCGUAGAUAUCGAGAGGAACACCGGUGGCGAAGGCGGCUUUCUGGACGGCGACUGACGCUGAGACGCGAAAGCGUGGGGAGCAAACAGGAUUGAGAA